CUCAUCUGAUGACUCGUGUCACAUGACAAACCACUGUAGCAUUCACUCUACAGAAGAACUGUAGUCAAUCCAGAUAUGUUCCUCAUUUGGAAUGUGCACUUUUGCCUUAGAUUCACUGACAGGGCAAGAUUUGGAGAAAGAGGAAGAAAAUGAAGAGAAAAGUUACUAACAGAGGACAAAUAUGAAAUUUCAUCUGAUGCUGAAGGAGCAAGUAUAGUUACCUCUUCUUGCAAGGAGCCAACAAUGCAGGUCAGCAUUUCAAUGACCUCUUCUCCUGUGCAAGAAAAUACUACUCCUGACUCCUAACAGAAGUAAGGAAAUUCCUGUUCAGAGUAGACAAAAAGCAUUAGUGUGACAAAUCAGUGUAUACUGAUUAUCAAAUUUAAAGUUGCUGUGUUGAUAGAAAUGGAUGUUUUCUGGGUCCUCAUGUCAAAAUACUUGUCACAGUGACUGUAUUUCAAACCUAAAAUACUCCUAAAGCUCAUGGCCUAAUAUUUUCACCCUAACAGCUUCCUCCAUGAGACAUUUUAAAGCAAUCUUAAUAAUUAACAGUAAUCUGUUCAACAGGGAUUCUGAUGCUGUAGCUCAAGAGCCGAUGACUUUUGGAAAGCUGUGUUGCUGACUUAGUGAGAGAUACUGUCUGUGAUCACAGUGCUCACAGCAUCUGUACUCCAUGACUCUAAGAUCAUCAAGUCCAGCUGUUAACCGAGCACUGCCAAGUCUACCGCUAAUCCGUGUAAUCACAUGGUGUCAUCACAUCAGUACCCAGGAGACUCACGGGAACCUUUGCCAAAGCAGCUUGUGCUGUGAAUGUUGUUCCUCAGUUCUGCCGCCUCUUGUUUGUUUUCUUACAGAAGUGUUGCUAAGUGCCACGGUUUGUCUCCACUGCACUGCUGAGUUCCUCUGUUAAAAUAAUAUUGAUAGCAACACUUUCUCCAGGAAGGAGAGACCUGUCUUUCCUUAUGAAUCAGAAAGUGAAGACAAACACCUGAAUUUUUCAGAGAUGUAUUUCAGGCCCCCAGGCGUUUCCACUUGGCUUUUACAAAGCUCAUACUGAUUUACUGAAUACUUACAUUGUUAUUUAUAGAAGAGCUUUUAAGGGAAGUCUUCAAUGCUGUAACUCUAUGCUCAUUCUGGAGAAGCUAAAGCUUCAUCAGUUUGUCACAUUUUCUUAGUUAAGGGUAAAGCAAAAUGCCAGAAGUAAUUAAACUGUUUUAAAACUUCUUAAUUCUUUGUUCCUUCAGUUUUGCUGUUUAAAAAUCUGAGUGCAAUAUGUUUACUUUUGUGAUGUCUUUUUUUCUCAUAUCUUGCAUUGUCAGGUGAACCAGGGCUGCCACAUGUCCAUUAGAAAGAUAAGUUGGAUGCUUUGGAGACUACGACCAGUUGGUAGUAAGAUGAUGUUACGGCCUGUGCACUGGUAGAAAAGAAGAGCAGUUAAUGACAGUUGAGGAGGACACUUUAGCAAACGUUCCUGGCAGUGGUAUGCUGGAGAUCACAACUGCAAAUAACUUUUUCAAAGUACUGGGAGAUGUGAUCUGCAUUUCAUUUAUGAAUAUAUUUCUAUCACUUUAAACACCAGAAAUCAUGCUGAUACUGCUCACUUCUUAAUAAAGAUAUUCAUCAAAGUGAAUGAAUACUUCAAA